rfam:Trichobilharzia regenti genome assembly, scaffold: TRE_scaffold0001501
AUCUAGUUGACGAGUCCCAAAUAGGACGAAAUGCGCACCUGGAU